AGAGUUUGAUCAUGGCUCAGGACGAACGCUGGCGGCGUGCCUAAUACAUGCAAGUCGAACGAGGUUCAGCUGGUGGCAACACCGGCGAAGACCUAGUGGCGAACGGGUGAGUACCACGUGAGCAACCUGCCCCGAAGACCGGGAUAACACCGGGAAACCGGUGCUAAUACCGGAUGCCCUCACGAGAUCGCAUGGUCAUG
rnacentral:rRNA from 1 species